rnacentral:rRNA from 1 species
GUGGGGAAUUUUGGACAAUGGGCGCAAGCCUGAUCCAGCCAUGCCGCGUGCAGGAUGAAGGCCUUCGGGUUGUAAACUGCUUUUGUACGGAACGAAAAGACUUCUUCUAAUACAGGAGGUCCAUGACGGUACCGUAAGAAUAAGCACCGGCUAACUACGUGCCAGCAGCCGCGGUAAUACGUAGGGUGCAAGCGUUAAUCGGAAUUACUGGGCGUAAAGCGUGCGCAGGCGGUUAUAUAAGACAGAUGUGAAAUCCCCGGGCUCAACCUGGGAACUGCAUUUGUGACUGUAUAACUAGAGUACGGUAGAGGGGGAUGGAAUUCCGCGUGUAGCAGUGAAAUGCGUAGAUAUGCGGAGGAACACCGAUGGCGAAGGCAAUCCCCUGGACCUGUACUGACGCUCAUGCACGAAAGCGUGGGGAGCAAACAGGAUUAGAUACCCCAGUAGUCC